GAGGGAGCCUGAGAAAUAGCUACCACAUCCAAGGAAGGCAGCAGGCGCGCAAAUUACCCACUCUCGAAACGGGGAGGUAGUGACGAUAAAUAACGAUGCGGGACUCAAUCGAGGCCCCGUAAUUGGAAUGAGUACACUUUAAAUCCUUUAACGAGGAUCAAUUGGAGGGCAAGUCUGGUGCCAGCAGCCGCGGUAAUUCCAGCUCCAAUAGCGUAUAUUAAAGUUGUUGCAGUUAAAAAGCUCGUAGUUGAUCUCAGGAUUUGGAUGGAUGGUUCGCUUUCGGGCGCUACUAUCUGUCUGACCUACUCUAGUCGUGGAUGCCUUGGGUGCUCUUAAUUGAGUGCUUUUGGUGCCCGACGCAAUUACUUUGAAAAAAUUAGAGUGCUCAAAGCAGGCGUAUUGCCUGAAUAGUGUUGCAUGGAAUAAUGAAAUAGGAGUUUACUUCUAUUUUGUUGGUUUUCGGAGGUGAACUAAUGAUUAACAGGGACAGACGGGGGCAUUUGUAUGGAGGGGUUAGAGGUGAAAUUCUUGGAUCCUCUCCAGACAAACUACUGCGAAAGCAUUUGCCAGGAAUGUUUUCACUAAUCAAGAACGAAAGUCAGAGGUUCGAAGACGAUCAGAUACCGUCCUAGUUCUGACCAUAAAUGAUGCCAUCUAACAAUCCACGAAGUUUGCUUGUACGAACUCGUGGGCGGUCCCCGGGAAACCAAAGAUUUUGGGUUCCGGGGGAAGUAUGGUUGCAAAGCUGAAACUUAAAGGAAUUGACGGAAGGGCACCACCAGGAGUGGAGCCUGCGGCUUAAUUUGACCCAACACGGGAAACCUCACCCGGCCCGGACACUUUUAGGAUUGACAGAUUGAAGGCUCUUUCUUGAUCAAGUGGUUGGUGGUGCAUGGCCGUUCUUAGUUGGUGGAGCGAUUUGUCUGGUUAAUUCCGAUAACGAACGAGACUCUACUCUGCUAAAUAGAACGUUGAUAUAUAAAAGUCAGUGCUGACUUCUUAGAGAGACUAACGGCGUUUAGCCGUGUGAGAAAGAGCAAUAACAGGUCUGUGAUGCCCUUAGAUGUCCGGGGCCGCACGCGCGCUACACUGACUGCAGCAACUAGUAUGCUCCUGGUUUGAAAAAACUGGGUAACCUGGUUGAAUUGCAGGCGUGACAGGGAUCAGAGUUUGCAAUUAUCCUCUGUGAACGAGGAAUUCCCAGUAAGCGCAAGUCAUUAACUUGUGCUGAUUACGUCCCUGCCCUUUGUACACACCGCCCGUCGCUACUACCGAUUGAAUGGUUUAGUGAGGUCUUCGGAUUGGUGCUGAUGGAGUGGUUCUCUGCUCUGUUAGUGCCGAGAAGAUGAUCAAACUUGAUCAUUUAGAGGAAGUAAAGGUCGUAACAAGGUU
rnacentral:rRNA from 1 species